CCCNUAGUAACUGCGNGUGAANCGNNGGAAGAGCUCAAAUUUAAAAUCUGGCGNUCUUUGGNCNGUCCGAGUUGUAGUCUGGAGAAGUGCUUNUCGCGNNCUGGACCGUGUAUAAGUCUCUUGGAACAGAGCGUCAUAGAGGGUGAGAAUCCCGUCUUUGACACGGACUACCAGUGCUUUGUGAUGCGCUCUCAAAGAGUCGAGUUGUUUGGGAAUGCAGCUCAAAAUGGGUGGUAAAUUCCAUCUAAAGCUAAAUAUUGGCGAGAGACCGAUAGCGAACAAGUACCGUGAGGGAAAGAUGAAAAGCACUUUGGAAAGAGAGUUAAACAGUACGUGAAAUUGCUGAAAGGGAAACGCUUGAAGUCAGUCGCGUUGUACGGAACUCAGCCUUGCUUUUGCUUGGUGCACUUUCUGUAUGACGGGCCAGCAUCAAUUUUGACCGUCGGAAAAGGGCCAAGGGAAUGUGGCACCCUCGGGUGUGUUAUAGCCUUUGGUCGCAUACGGCGGUUGGGAUUGAGGAUCGCAGCGCGCCGCAAGGCAGGGGUUCGCCCACUUUCGCGCUUAGGAUGCUGGCAUAAUGGCUUUAAACGACCCGUCUUGAAACACGGACCAAGGAGUCUAACUUACCUGCGAGUGUUUGGGUGGAAAACCCGAGCGCGUAAUGAAAGUGAAAGUUGGGACCUCUGUCGUGGAGGGCACCGACGCCCGGACCUGACGUUCUCUGACGGAUCCGCGGUAGAGCAUGUAGGUUGGGACCCGAAAGAUGGUGAACUAUGCCUGAAUAGGGUGAAGCCAGAGGAAACUCUGGNGGNAGNNUCGUAGCGAUUCUGACGUGCAAAUCNNNNNNCAAAUUUGGGUAUAGGGGCGACAG
rnacentral:rRNA from 1 species